rnacentral:rRNA from 1 species
GAUGAACGCUGGCGGCGUGCUUAACACAUGCAAGUCGAACGGAAAGGCUCCUUCUUGCUGGGGUACUCGAGUGGCGAACAGGUGUGUAUCACGUGGGUGAUCUGCCCUGCACUUCGGGGUAAGCCUGGGAAACUGGGACUAUUACCGGACAGGACAACUGUAUGGAUACGAUUUUAGAUAGAAGUGUCGGAUUGGGUUGAGCUCGCGGCAUAUCAGCUUGUUGGUGAGGUAAUGGCCUAUCAAGGCGUCGACGGGUAGCCGGCCUGAGAGGGUGUCCGGCCACAUUGGGACUGAGGUACGGGCAAUACGCCUACGGGAGGAAGCGGUGGGAGAUAUUGCAAAAUGGGCGGAAGCCUGAAGCAGCGACGCCGCGUGGGGGAUGACUGCCUGCGGGUUGUAAACUCCUUUCGCUAGGGACGAAGAGCAAGUGACGGUACCUGGAGAAGAAGCACCGGCUAACUACGUG